rfam:Penicillium nalgiovense strain IBT 13039 PENNAL_contig0053, whole genome shotgun sequence.
GCGCCGAUAGUCUAGAGGUAGGACACUGCUUUCCCAAGACGGUGUCAAGCAGGAGCCCGGGUUCGAACCCCGGUCGGCGCA